UGGGGAAUAUUGCACAAUGGGCGCAAGCCUGAUGCAGCCAUGCCGCGUGUAUGAAGAAGGCCUUCGGGUUGUAAAGUACUUUCAGCGGGGAGGAAGGGAGUAAAGUUAAUACCUUUGCUCAUUGACGUUACCCGCAGACGAAGCACCGGCUAACUCCGUGCCAGCAGCCGCGGUAAUACGGAGGGUGCAAGCGUUAAUCGGAAUUACUGGGCGUAAAGCGCACGCAGGCGGUUUGUUAAGUCAGAUGUGAAAUCCCCGGGCUCAACCUGGGAACUGCAUCUGAUACUGGCAAGCUUGAGUCUAGUAGAGGGGGGUAGAAUUCCAGAUGUAGCGGUGAAAUGCGUAGAGAUCUGGAGGAAUACCGGUGGCGAAGGCGGCCCCCUGGGCGAAGACUGACGCUCAGGUGCGAAAGCGUGGGGAGCAAACAGG
rnacentral:rRNA from 1 species